UGCCCAAUCCAGGGCCGGGUGAAGUUCCGGCAGCAGCCACUGCUCUUCCACCAGCUCUCCCGGAGCUCGUAGAGCCGCUGUUCAGCAGGCUCCAAUCUCAGCAAUGGAGACCUCUGGUCAACGCCCCCAGAAUUCCACCUCAGCUGGACCUCCUAGAUUGUAUCCACCUCUCCCGAGCACAUCGUCUCAGACUUUGGCUGCUGUAAAUGGGGCUGGAAGAACACUAUUUCUGCAACCAGAUGUUCUGUUCAGCGACAUGAGGCAGCGAAGCCUUUGCUAAUUUCACAACAGGAAAGCACACAGGAAAUUCGAGAACAAAGCAAAUCUACACACACAGCCCAGCAUCUUCCAGCAAACGCGGUGAGGUACUGACCCGAAGCAAGACGACUCUGGACUGCAAAAGAGGCAGCUGCCUCCUAAACUGUCAGGGGACGGAAGAAGUCUUUUGCCUCUAAAAAACCAGAUCUGAAUACCAAUUGCUCAUGAAUAUUCAUGAGCCGCUCCAGCUUGCUCAAGAGUCACCCUUGACUGUAACCCUGGAGCUUGGCUUUGUUAAAUAUUCCCCAAAGUUUUUUCUCUCUGCCUCCUCUCGGAAGGAGAGGGUGGGAAAGUGUAUAUAGGGCUUUUUGCCUCUUGCUCUUUCAAGUACUUGCUUUUGGUCUGGGCUUUUGAAUUCCUUUUUUCCUUUUUUAUUUUUAUUUUUUCCUGGUCUUAAGGAUUCAGAUCAAAUCAGUUUUGCUCUUACCCCUUCUAUCUUCCAUAUUUGGCAGCUUUUGUUUUCUUCCUCUUUGCUCUUUAUUUUUCAGCCUCUGCUUGCUGUUGUCGGUCUCAGUGAAAGAGGUACUCAAGGAACAGAGAUAUAACAGACCCUCGGGCUCGUGGGAGGGGCUAAAUUAGCCUGCCCCGUUUCGGAAGGAACCUCAAACCCUGUGUCUUUUUCAUUGACUGAAAGGAUACUUGCGAGGAGUUCAGCAGCUCAUUCCCCUGAAGCUUGCCAGGGCUGUAACUUUUUGUAUCUUGAGGCAAUGUGUUUUCAGAUCUCUCUUCAGAUUUUCCCUCUCUCUUUGAUACAGAAAUCCAUUUCCCCCCUUGAAAAAUGUAUCUUGGCUGCAAGCAAAUAAAAAGCGAUUUACUUUUUGCAAUUUUCAAGCAAGCUAACAAGAAACUUGUUACCUUGAUACCCACUGGAAAAACGAUGGGACUCAAGAACAGUUCUUCUGGUCCCAUAAAUCCGAUCACUUCUGGUUCCCUGAUGAGCAAUCCCUUUUUGGAGCUCAUUACUCCAGAAGAGCAACGGGUCACCCAAGCAAAGGACGCGGCGCGGGAGAAACCGUGGUAUUGGUCGGAAGGCAGGGUGGGACAGCAGAGAAGGCUGCUUGCUGAGAACAGCUGUCUAGCUGUGCUGAUGCAAGCUGUCUACCUUUUCCAAACCUUCACCUCCUACCUCUGAAGUCUUAUAGGCAGGAAUUGCCACACCCAGGCUUCACCAAGAUAACCCGAAUACAGACGAAAAACUGACCAAAGCAUUAAAAAAAAAAAAAAAAAAAACAACACUGUGUCUGUGAAGUUAUUUUGGAGUCAGGAUAAGCGACAACCCAAAGGAAGGAUAAGCAAGUGGCCUUGGAAGUCAGGGAGGAAUGCCCUGAAGUCUGAGUUCAGGGAAGCCCUUGAAUGUAGCAGAAUGGGGCCAGCUCUUCCAAAGGGGAAGUACAUGACCAAACAGUUGCACCAGAAGAAGGCACGCUUCGAGCACAUGGCACAUUAAAAUCAAGCAGAUCAGACACUCAACAAGGAAUCUGAAGAAUUAAAAUAAAGAUCCUGAACUACAGAAUAAGAAAAUUCAACGAACUGAAGCUAUGACUCACCUCUAAAGGUCAAGAAACAUUGUGAGUACCAAGUGUGAUCACACUCUCCAGAUGUCAGAGCUCCACAUUAUGGGUCAAACUGGCAUCCCAUCAACUUCUGAACCUGAGAGCUGGGGCAAAAUUUACUGUGGAAACACCACUGAAAGAACUUCAUGUUCCUAGAAGCUCCCUGGAUUAUAAACUCAGAAGUGGAGAUAGCUGCGAGAGUGAUUAGACAGAGUUGGAAAGUUCAUGCAGAAGUGGCAACACCUUCAAACUUGGGCAAAGGGCCCCUGCUCUAGUCCCACACCUUAGAGGGACCCGGAAACCAGAAAACCACAAAUAACAAAUUUGGCAAAAAUCACAUGGGUACUUCUGUCACUCAGGACCCAGUGCUCAGUGAUGACACUGAGCAAUUCACAAUCCAGCAUGCCUGCUGCUGUGAGUCACGCCAUUUAAGCACCAGAGGAACACUCUGCCACCCUACCCUGUGUCCAAAUGAAGAAGAGAGGACUGUGGCACUGCUAACGUCAGAGACGGACAAUGCUUCAGAGCAUGAGGAGCAUUUGAGUGGGAGAAAUUAUUAGGCAAGAAAAUAUUUAGCUCAAUGUAUCUUUCUUCUCAAAUUUCAUGACCACGGUAGGUUUUUGAAUAGUAAAAUAGGUCAUAGAGCAGAGUGUUCACUUUCUUAAACUCUUGAUAUCCAAUAUUUAACAGUUUUUACAACAGUUGCACGUGGCAUCUGAGGAAAACUUAACAAUAUGAAACAAUUGUUGUUCAGUUUCUCAGUCGUGUCUGACUCUUUGAGACCCCAUGGAUUGCAGCACUCCAGGCUUCCCUAUCCUUCACCAUCUCCUGGAGCUUGCUCAAACUCAAGUCCAUUGAGUUGGUGAUGCCAUCCAACCAUGUCAUCCUCUGUCGGUCCCUUCUCCUCCUGCCUUUGUAUAUAUGUAAGUCUAGACAUAACACGUAUUAAACACAACACUUAUUCUUCACAUUGGUAGCUACAAUUAUAAAUAUUAUUAUAAAAUAUAAUAAUAUAAAUUUUAUAAUAAUACCUAAAUUUCAGAAAACUGUUAAAACUUUUGAUUAUAUUUAAAUUAAUUCAUUAAUUAUCAUUAUAUUUGGCCUUUGUACUUAGCAGAUAAUAUUGAAUAUGUACUGUAUAUGUACAUGUAUUUGUAUAUGCAUAUGUCACUCAGUCAUGUCCAACUCUUGGCAACUCCAUGGACUAUAGCCCACCAGGCUCCUCUGGUCCAUGGGGAUU